CCUACGGGAGGCAGCAGUGAGGAAUAUUGGUCAAUGGGCGGAAGCCUGAACCAGCCAAGUCGCGUGAGGGAAUAAGGCCCUACGGGUCGUAAACCUCUUUUGCCGGGGAGCAAGGGCAGGGACGUGUCCCGGCCCGGAGGGUACCCGGAGAAAAAGCAUCGGCUAACUCCGGGCCGGCAGCCGCGGUAUAACGGGGGAUGGGAGCGUUAACCGGUUUUAUGGGGUUUAAAGGGUCGGUGUGGGGGCUUUAAGGUCAGCGGGAAAAAUGCGGGGCCAACCCCCGUACGGCCGUUGAAACUGGGGGCCUUGAGUGCGGGUGAGGAAGGCGGAAUGCGUGGUGUAGCGGUGAAAUGCAUAGAUAUCACGCAGAACCCCGAUUGCGAAGGCAGCCUGCUGGCGUGCUACUGACGUUGAGGCACGAAAGUGCGGGGAUCGAACAGGAUUAGAUACCCGGGUAGUC
rnacentral:rRNA from 1 species